rnacentral:ncRNA from 2 species
AGCAGCCGCGGUAAUUCCAGCUCCAAUAGCGUAUAUUAAAGUUGUUGCAGUUAAAAAGCUCGUAGUUGAACUUCAGGCCUGUCCAGAUGGUCCGCCUUAAUUGGUGUGUACUGUCCUUGGGUGGGUCCUACCUUCUGGCGAAGCGGCAUGGCCUUAGUUGGUUGUGUCGGGGAACCAGGACUUUUACUGUGAAAAAAUUAGAGUGUUCAAAGCAGGCAUAUAUGCUCGAAUACAUUAGCAUGGAAUAAUGGAAUAGGACGAUGGUUCUAUUUUGUUGGUUCUAGGACCGUUGUAAUGAUUAAUAGGGAUAGUUGGGGGCAUUAGUAUUCAAUUGUCAGAGGUGAAAUUCUUGGAUUUAUUGAAGACUAACUACUGCGAAAGCAUUUGCCAAGGAUGUUUUCAUUAAUCAAGAACGAAAGUUAGGGGAUCGAAGACGAUCAGAUACCGUCGUAGUCUUAACCAUAAACUAUGCCGACUAGGAAUCGGGCGAUGUUGACAAAAUGACUCGCUCGGCACCUCAUG